CUCCUUCAUUUCCACUUUGACAACUUGCAAGUAAUCUUUCAUGUUUCCUUAGUGACAAGUCUCUUCAUUCACUGAUUUCCACAUGCUGCAGUAUUUAUUCCAUCAGUCAUCUUUGAACUUUUGUGUUGGCCACCAGCUGGUGACAGAAACAUUUCUGCUAUAUUCAUACUUUUUGAAUCCCAAACACAACAGUCAUCAUCAAACAGAGGCACCAUCCCCAGGAACUCAGUUUGCCUCAGUGCAUUAAACCGAAUAGUUCAACACCACGGACAGCGACUGCACCUGUCUGGAUGAAGGUCUGUGAUGAGACGUGUACGACCUUUUUCAGAACCAUGGACAGUACCACAAGCUUCAAGUUCAACGCCAUUAUACUGUAAUCCACACUAAAGCACCAUAAUGUGUUAUUUGAAACCUCAAAAUGCAACCUCCACAUGAAGAGUAUCAAAAAUUAAUUAAAAUGAAAAUAAAUGUUUGUCUUCACAUUUUAAUAGGUCUG
rnacentral:lncRNA from 1 species